GAAUAUUGGACAAUGGGCGCAAGCCUGAUCCAGCAAUGCCGCGUGUGUGAAGAAGGCCUGCGGGUUGUAAAGCACUUUCAGUGGGGAAGAAAUAGCUCGGGGCUAAUACCUCCGGGAAUUGACGUUACCCACAGAAGAAGCACCGGCUACCUCCGUGCCAUCCGCCGCGGUAAUACGGAGGGUGCAAGCGUUAAUCGGAAUUACUGGGCGUAAAGGGCACGCAGGUGGCUUGGCGAGUCGGGUGUGAAAGCCCUGGGCUUAACCUGGGAAUUGCAUUCGAUACUGCCGAGCUAGAGUAUGGGAGAGGAAAGUGGAAUUCCCGGUGUAGCGGUGAAAUGCGUAGAUAUCGGGAGGAACAUCAGUGGCGAAGGCGGCUUUCUGGCCCAAUACUGACACUCAUGUGCGAAAGCGUGGGGAGCAAACAGG
rnacentral:rRNA from 1 species